GUAAUGCCUCCCCACAGCAUGAUCCUGCCAACACCCUGCUCAAUGCUGUUGAGGGCUUGUCCAAGGACGAUCAGAACCUGGACCGCAGAUCUCUGCAUCUUUUCUAAGCUGUGAACAUCUUGGCAAGCUGUCUUAUCAUUGCUGUCCUUUAAUUGGACGUCCAUGUCUUGGUCACCGCUCAUCACUUCCCACAGGCCCACGCCACAAAAAAUCCCAGACUAAAAGCCAUUAGCUCUUCUAAAAUUAAACAUUUCAGUAUAGUCUGUUCCUGUGAACAGCAACGGGAAUAAAGGAGCCCUGGAAGGGUAGCAACGGCCAUUCAUCUUUUUCUUAUUACUGUCAUCAUUCAGCCUCCAGCCUCUUCAACCCAGAUCUCCUGGUUAAAUCACCACAGCCGUAGCUCUAUAUUAGGACAAGGACGGAGGCCUCAGAAUAACGGAGAGAACAUCCGUCAUGAGGAAACUCAACACUCUCCUAAACAGGUUGGACUGCUGGGAUCAAACUGGGCUGAACCUGGACGCAGAGGGUUAUCAGGUGGAGCUGAGAAAACCACAGGGAGCAUCUGAACAGAACAUCCAUUAAUGAUGAGGUUUCACCUCUGGUUGAAGAUCAAACUCUGGUCCAUUUCUCAGCUGCCAAGGAAGUAAAUGAAAGAUAAAAAAAAAAAAAGACACUGUUUGACUAAACUGACUCCAAAUAGAAAAGUAGAUGGAAGAAAAAAGAAUUGCUUCAUUAGGUUGAAUCUGAACAGUAUUUAUGGAUCAUGCUAUUGUUUUUAUUAGCAAACAGUGUUUUUUAUUAAUACUGUCUGCAUCUCUUUUCUGUUUUUCAUGCACACUAUUUGAUUUGAUUUUCUGGUAGUGACAUGGAUGCAUAUCAAGGAGAUGGUAAGAACUGUAGAGGAACUGUUUUAAAUACAACAUCCAGUGUUUGGUUUUUAAAACUGUCCUGAUGAAACGUUUGGCCUUUUCAGAUGAUGAGUUUCCAGAGUCCAAAUCUAAUUUACAGCCACAUAUAUUUUGUCUUUCUGCAGAUCAGCUUCCAUAAGCCUCCUUGGCAUGUUAACCUGGUUAACAAAGCUGUAAUCGUGUUCGUCACCUGAAUAUAUAUUCUGACUGGAUCCAGCUACAGUUUUGGAUCACACAGUCGAACCGCCAAGAUUGU